GCCUCAGUGGAGUAGUGGUAGAGCACGCGUCCCAUAAUAGAGCUGGAAACGUGGGUUCGAUUCCCGCUUGAGGCU